AUGCAGGCUCACGCUCCAGCUUCUUCCUCUGCUACAUGGAAGGCGAUUAUAGCCGGGCGUACAACAUUGCAAACAGGCCUAAUCAAGAGGGUAGGCAAUGGCGAGUCAAUUUCUGUUUGGAAUGACACUUGGAUUCCUACCACCACCUAUAAGCCUACAGGACGGCAAGGGACCGAUCAUAUUGAGCGGGUCUCUGAACUAAUCGAUCACCAGUCUGGAACUUGGGAUGUUCAGGUAGUGAGGCGAAAUUUUCUUGCACCUGAUGCCGAGGCAAUACUAAAUAUCCCAAUUCGGCUCAAUGGUGGAGAAGAUGUCCUAGCGUGGGCUCUUGAAAAGUCCGACCAAUACACUGUGAAAUCAGCUUACCGUGCUCUGGUGACUCGAGACGAGCUGCGUGCUCUAGAGGAAGGGACGGUGGUGGAAACUUCAGCGUCAGAAAAACAGUUGUGGAUCACUCUUUGGAAACUCAAGGUCAUACCUAGAGUUCGGGUUUUCUGGUGGAGGGUGCUCCGGGGCAUCCUUCCAGAUUAUGCUACCUUGCAAUAUCGUCAUAUCCGUACCACAUCACUAUGUGAUCUUUGCAAAGCUAUGAACGAGGAUCUGAUGCAUGCCUUGGUCCUUUGUUCUCAUGCUAAGGCCUUCUGGACAGCAGCAAAAGAAGUACUUGGGAUCAAACUUCCAAGGCUACACCCGCAUACAUAG
rnacentral:rRNA from 1 species